rnacentral:tRNA from 1 species
ACAGGUGUAGCUCAGUGGCAGAGUGCUUCUUGACUAGAAUUAGAGUGAGGCCCUGGGUUUGAUCCCCAGCACUGGAA